rnacentral:misc_RNA from 1 species
AAGCUCAGGUGCGUGUCACUGGUUAAGCGUGAGCUGGAAGGAGAUUGCACAUCGCCGGCAGUCUUCCAUCGAUGCACACGCCAGCGCACCCGACUUCAUGCAUGCAGACCAGAAAGGAAGUAAACCAACGCAUACACGAGCACAUCACUACACACAACGCACAUACGCCUCGCCUUCCUCUCCCCUACUCUAGGAUCGGCACUGGAAAGAAACAAAGAGCGGCGGUACCGGUCCGCCGUUCUGCUCUCCCAUCCACUGCGUGUCUCUUGUCCACAAAGGAGAAGACGCGGAAAGAAUCCCACUUCAUGCUUGACCGCCUUGCCCGGAUACACAGAGAAGAAGUGAAGCAUCAAGCACACUCACGCACCCGCCCUGCCAUAGAAGGCUCCUGCGAACGGUAUCGGCGGCACAUCAUAGAGUAACUCUGACUUACGCGUGCCCCUCACUCCUUGUCCGCCAUCCACCCCAUUCCGCCCCCCUUUCCCACACUUCUGCUUUCCAACCUUAUUGGUUUCUUCUGUUCUUGGGGUGACACCCCGUCUUUGCAUCUCUCUCGUGUUGCGAAG